rnacentral:misc_RNA from 1 species
GUGAGAGUUGAGUGUGUGCAGUUAAAUCAAAUUAUGGCCUAUAUAUUAUUUUUCCACAAAUUUCAAUUAAAAAAGAUUAAUCAAAUUAUGAAGUUUUGCCAUGUAUUUUGCUAAUGGGUAAUCUACAACUGAUACUUGCAUAUAUUACAAGCUACAGUGAGAAUGUGUUCAAAGAAAUUUUACAAAAACCAUCAUAUCAAACGGAGAAACCAGAAACAUGGCAAUUAGAUACAGACUGUAAUGAGGUUCAAUACAGGAGAAAGCAAUUCCAGAAACUCAACAAUAAUCAUCCCAAAAAAUAAGAAGGGAAAAAAAUCUUUUUUCCCCAUUUUCAUAUUAACAGAACAGUCAAAACCCAGAAAUUGAAAGUCUAUGAGGCAAUUCAAAAAGAUAACAAGAUCACAGGAUGUAACUUUGAAGGUUGAUGCUAUGGAAAUACGUGUGAAAGAGAAAAAGAUUGAGAA